GACGAACGCUGGCGGCGUGCUUAACACAUGCAAGUCGAACGGAAAGGCCCUGCUUUUGUGGGGUGCUCGAGUGGCGAACGGGUGAGUAACACGUGAGUAACCUGCCCUUGACUUUGGGAUAACUUCAGGAAACUGGGGCUAAUACCGGAUAGGAGCUCCUGCUGCAUGGUGGGGGUUGGAAAGUUUCGGCGGUUGGGGAUGGACUCGCGGCUUAUCAGCUUGUUGGUGGGGUAGUGGCUUACCAAGGCUUUGACGGGUAGCCGGCCUGAGAGGGUGAUCGGCCACAUUGGGACUGAGAUACGGCCCAGACUCCUACGGGAGGCAGCAGUGGGGAAUAUUGCACAAUGGGCGGAAGCCUGUUGCAGCAACGCCGCGUGCGGGAUGACGGCCUUCGGGUUGUAAACCGCUUUCGCCUGUGACGAAGCGUGAGUGACGGUAAUGGGUAAAGAAGCACCGGCUAACUACGUG
rnacentral:rRNA from 1 species